rnacentral:tmRNA from 1 species
GGGGCCGACUGGAAUUGACAGUAGGUGCAAUGCAAGUGUAAGCAUGUCGGGAGUUGUUGGUAUUUCCCGUAAACAAACCUUCAACAUUUUAAUUGGCGAAAGACAAUACGCCCUUGCUGCCUAAUCAGAUUUAGAUAGCAAUGUGUCUCACUGACCCCACCGUUCUGCCGGGUUGGUAUAUGAGGCAUCACAAGCAGAACUGGUGCUGGUAGGUCUGUGAUAUCAGCACAAGAUUAAUCGCAGAUAAGGAUUGCCUUUGGUUGGUUGCUGACCUGGGUAGUUUCGAAAAUCAAUAGCAAAUAAACAUGUAGAAAGCGCUUAGUAUUCCUUAUCUGGACCAGGGUUCGAAUCCCUGCGGCUCCACGA